ACACCGCUCAAACGAACAUCUCUGUUUCCACCCGAUUUGCAGUCUCUAUGCUCUGUUUCUUCCUCAAAAUUUCCAAUGCUGCUCACCUCCUCUUCCAAUUUCCCUCAUCUCUUUUAGUCUUCUCUCUUCCUGGACAGUUUAUUCUCCUUGAUUGUACAGUUAUAAGAAAAAACUGGGAUAUUUGGAGUUGUUUCCCAUUUCAGUUGGGGGUGAAUUCAAUCCCCGCACUCUCUAAAGGGUUCACCACUUUCUUAUAGUUUCAAUUUUUUUGUUGGAUUCAAGCAUGGAUGAAAUAAAUUAUGACAUUUAGUUAAAUGUUUAAUAGACAUUGUUGAUCUUGCAAAAUGCGAGAUACGGAAACUAUGAAGAGGUAAAUCUUAAUCAGUCUACAUAUAGAUUCACCUAUUACGUGCUCUGCCUCUACAAUUACUAAGUAAGCUUUGUCCAUCUUUUUUUGCUUCUCUUUAUCCCAGCUUAUCUGCUCAUGCUUGUGUUUGGUAUUCUCGAUUUUGUUUUUCACAGUAUCGCAAAUGCUGCUGGAUUCAAAUGUAGUUGCAUGCGGCUUUUGGAUGCAAAUUGAGCUACUACUGGAUUUCGAAUUGGAUAUGAAGUAUUGAACCCGAACAAAUCUGUACCUAAUCCUAUGUAACUCAGAAUGGUUUCAAUCUCCCCGACUCUUCUUUUGUUGGUGGUUUGAGAAAGAUAGCGUAUUUAUUUUGGAUGAGGAGGGGCGAGCUGAAAAGCAGCAGUGCGAUGUUGCUGCUUCAAAAAUUCUCCACAACUUUUCUUUUAUGCCAGAUAAUGAGGUCAUCAUGCGCCAGCAUAAACAUUGCUUAGGAACUCUAUUCCAAUGUCAGCCAAAUUAUGUUACAGUGCUUGCAUCCUAGCAUCAUGAAGGAUAUUGAAAAGCAUGGCUACACUGCACCGACUUCUAUUCAGGCUCAAUCCAUGCCAGUUGCUCUUAGUGGAAGAGAUCUCUUGGGUUGUGUUGAAACUGCAUUGUUUGGCUCAACAACCUCUUCAACGUGGUGAUGGACUUUUGGCAUUAGUGUUGGCGCCUACGAGAGAGCUUCCACAACAAAUAGAGAAAGAGGUGGACUGCGGCACUUUAAAAUUUGUUGCAUCUUCUUAAUUAAUAUUUUUUUACUCCUGAUUUUAGUCAUCACUGAAUCCUCUGUUUUAUGCAAGGUACAAUUCAUGACUUACAAUCUUUUGCUUGUGAAUGCCAUCUUUGCUUUUGACGGAGUUUAGCUGGAGCUCAUUGAAUAUGGCUGAGAUUGCAUUCUAGCUAAAACUAUACGUCCGGACGCCUGGAGUGCCGACGCUUGCGAAAAAGCACAUUAAUGGAUCAUUGACAAUCAAAAAAGAAUUCUCGCUCAGUAAACGAAGCUCAUGAUAAAAAUACCAACACCGUAAAAAUAACUCUUUAGCAAUGAUUCAGAAAGAAGAAAAGUUGUUGCAACGCCGCCUCAAAUAUUGACAGGCAACAACUAAUCGUCUUCUCGCAAAUGCAAAUCAUGUGAAUCUUGAUGGAAUGAUAUCUCACAUACAGCAUGAUCUUAAUAUUGGAAUAGCUUUUCCAACUUCAGAAAGAAGUUAAAAAAUCAAAUAUGUUAUUUCUUUUCUUUGCUAUAUACAUGCACAAUGAGACCUAACUGUUGCCCAGGGUGUUCCAAAUGUCAUUUCCAUCAGUUAUUCAUUUGCGUCAGUUUGUGUUUCAAAGUUUUCAAUUACUUUCUUCUGUCUACAACUUCGACGCCCAUGAAUUUGAUGAUAUCUGGUUUGUAGUUGAGAGAAGAAAUUACUACGAGAUUGAUAGCGACUAAAACCACAUUGAUCUCUCA